AUCGAACGCUGGCGGCAGGCCUAACACAUGCAAGUCGAACGGUAACAGGAAGAAGCUUGCUUCUUUGCUGACGAGCGCCGGACGGGUGAGUAAUGUCUGGGAAACUGCCUGAUGGAGGGGGAUAUCUACUGGAAACGGUAGCUAAUACCGCAUAACGACCCCAGACCAAAGAGGGGGCCCUUCGGGCCCCUUGCCAUCGGAUGUGCCCCGAUGGGAUUAGCUAGUAGGUGGGGUUACGGCUCACCUAGGCGACGAUCCCUAGCUGGUCUGAGAGGAUGACUAGCCAGACUGGAACAGAGGAACGUUCGAGACUCCUACGGUGAGAAGCGGUGGAGAAUAUUACACGAUGGAGCAAUGCCGGAUGCAGCCAUGUGGGGGGAAUGAAGAAGGACUUCGGGUUGUAAAGUGAUUUCGGCGUGGAGGAAGUGAGUAAAGUUAAUACGUGAGGACAUUGACGUUACCCGGAGAAGAAGCACCGGCUAACUCCGUG
rnacentral:rRNA from 1 species